UACUAUUUGCCGCCGGGUAAACCAGAAUGUUGGAUUUUGUAUCAGUAGGCCGUUGGAGAUACAAAGUGCCGGCAUUUUUUUAUU
rnacentral:ncRNA from 1 species